UACGUAGGUGGCGAGCGUUGUCCGGAUUUACUGGGCGUAAAGAGCGCGCAGGCGGUCGUUCAAGUCGCGUGUGAAAGCCCCCGGCUCAACUGGGGAGGGUCACGCGAUACUGAUCGACUCGAAGGCAGGAGAGGGAAGUGGAAUUCCCGGUGUAGUGGUGAAAUGCGUAGAUAUCGGGAGGAACACCAGUGGCGAAGGCGACUUCCUGGCCUGUUCUUGACGCUGAGGCGCGAAAGCUAGGGAAGCAAACGGG
rnacentral:rRNA from 1 species